GACGUAAAGCGCGCGUAGGCGGUUUCUUAAGUCUGAUGUGAAAGCCCCCGGCUCAACCGGGGAGGGUCAUUGGAAACUGGGGAACUUGAGUACAGAAGAGGAGAGUGGAAUUCCAUGUGUAGCGGUGAAAUGCGCAGAGAUAUGGAGGAACACCAGUGGCGAAGGCGGCUCUCUGGUUUGAAACUGACGCUGAGGUGCGAAAGCGUGGGGAUCAAACAGGAUUAGAUACCCUGGUAGUCCACGCUGUAAACGAUGAGUGCUAAGUGUUAGGGGGUUUCCGCCCCUUAGUGCUGCAGUAAACGCAUUAAGCACUCCGCCUGGGGAGUACGGCCGCAAGGUUGAAACUCAAAGGAAUUGACGGGGACCUGCACAAGCGGUGGAGCAUGUGGUUUAAUUCGAAGCAACGCGAAGAACCUUACCAAAUCUUGACAUCCUCUGACAACUUUGGAGAUAAAGUGUCCCUUCGGGGCAGAGAGACAGGUGGUGCAUGGUUGUCGUCAGCUCGUGUCGUGAGAUGUUGGGUUAAGUCCCGCAACGAGCGCAACCCUUAACAUUAGUUGCCAUCAUUGAGUUGGGCACUCUAAUGUGACUGCCGGUGACAAACCGGGGGAAGGUGGGGAUGACGUCAAAUCAUCAUGCCCCUUAUGAUUUGGGCUACACACGUGCUACAAUGGAUAGGAACAAAGGGUGGUGAAGUCGUGAGAUGAAGCAAAUCCCAUAAAACUAUUCCCAGUUCGGAUUGUAGUCUGCAACUCGACUACAUGAAGGUGGAAUCGCUAG
rnacentral:rRNA from 1 species